UUUUUCUCUGGCCAUCUCCUGUUCUGACUGACCCCAGACACUGUUUUCUUCAACCUGGCCUUUCAGAAUUCAAUCAAGGCAAAUCUCUUUUUUGCCUAAUUGCCCACUGUUUCUCACAUGUCCUCAUUCUCUGUUGCUCAUGGGAAAGACACGUAAGUGGGACAGGAACUAGACAGCAAAAAUGCUGCAGCAUAAAUAACCAUAACGCGGGGGAUCAGGGGCACAAGACGAGAUCUUUCGUACACUAGUUGUAUCACAUGCUCAUUUAACCAUGCCACCAAGAUGUAUAAACUACAGCAACCGGCCCUAGUGUAUCCAGCCUCGCCGAGCGCCAGACAAACCCGUCACAGCCGAGCCGGGAAGUGACACCACCGAACACAUGCUGAUCAUGCCACAAAGGCCGUCUUGGACUCAGGCGCCUACUCGGAGUUCCUGUAAUAUUGGAUCCCUUCCAUUGCAAGCCGACUGCUUCCACCUUCCCUAAGGGGCGAGAGAAAAAGAGGGCUCCGACGCCAUCUUGUGGUACUAGGUGAACACAACAGUCCAACGCUGCUCAGUCCUGAGCAUCUGUCGUACAAACUAUUGUGAGACAUAAUGAACGUCAGUGAGAAGGGUAGGACGCCGGGGCGCUGAAAACCCUAGUUCUGUUUGCAGCUCUGCUGCGUGACCUUUGCCAAAGCAAUUCCCCCCCCCUCCUGCUUGUGCCAUUAGACUGCAUUUUGCCAAGUGCUAAGACUCUCUCUGUGCCCAACGCCUCGCGCAGUGGGGUCCUGAUCUCGGCUGAAAGGCGGCAGCGAACAGAGCGCCUGGCAUUUCACUACUGCUUGGGCUGCAAGGCUCGAACCCCGAUCGUCCAAGGGAUGAACCCCGACUGUCCUACGGAAAGAAUCCCAAGGCCGCAACGAGGAUGGUUUUGGAAUCCUGGACAGAAGCGAUGGAAACUGGAAACGCUGGACCACCGGAACGCUGGAGCAGGAUGCGACAAUCACCAGAACAAGAUGGAGACUAGAGGAGAAACAUACCAAAGCAAGAUUUUACCUCAACGCCAGGACAAGCUCUACGAGACAGUCUCCUCCCCCUUCUUGGGGACAGAGGAUCUGUGUUCCCUCUUCCUCAGAGCAGAGCAGGGAAGCUCAGAAACCUGCUCCCUCUCCAGGGCUGCUCACGGCACUACUGCUCCUUUUAAACUCCCCUUCCAGUCCUGGCAUGACAGCAGGGUGAGGCGACUCCAGCCCAAAGCAACUCUUGACUCCCUUCUGUGCUGGUGUGGGUUUAUACACACCCAUCCCAGAGCCAUCGUCAUUCCCUGGCUCCGGACCUGUGCUGCAUCCCACUGCCAGUGAUCCUCGAGAUACCAGAAGUAUGUCGGCCUUCCUUUAACAACAAAACACUUGGAGGCGGGGACAAUCCCCUCGCCCGCCCCGUUCACUCUCUGCAGCCAUGUAUUUAAGCUGUCCUCAUUUCCGUUGUCUCGCCACUGUCGCCAGGAGUUUCGGUGCAGCUGGGGAAUGCAAUUACUAAGCAGUGAGGAAAUCCAACCAUUAUGUAUGUACAGUGACUGUGCUGCUGGCAGGCCCGGGGCGAGCUCAUGCCAAGGUCUCAGCUGGACACUAACAGAUACACAGCUGCAAUCUGCCUGGCUCAUCUGUGGGUUAAUAGUGAGACAAUAGGUGUUAGAAUGAUAAGGAAGUGUUCAGUGUUUGGACUCUGCUGGAUACUUGCGCGUUGCUGCCUGCAUUAAAUCUUACUUGUAAUGUCUGUGCUCCAUAUAGUAAUGUAAUUAAUGUUGGAGCAGGUGUCGUGUGAGCAUCUGUGACUGUACGAGUCACCACAAAGGAGAGGGACGUUAAUUAGUGGGAGGAGUUGCUCAUCUGGAGAAAGCAUCACACCCCGCCUGAAAGACGAGACCCCUUGAUACCAGAGGGCCACCACUGGAGCUUACAACUGGAAACUCCCUACAUCCGGAUUGAGAAACCAUCAACAACAGGACUAAAGACUCUUACAGUUGUUCUGCUCUCGUCCCCAUGAAGAGGAGACAUGUGAGUGGACUGCUGCCAUCAGCUGAGUGUGCAGCUCAGCACACAUGUCAGGAGGGAGAUAAAAACUCCAGACCAAUGGUGCUCAGGAUCUCUUGGACUCUGGGCGAGCAGGGUAUUUCUAGGCAUAAGCAAGAGAUCCCCAGCUGCUUAGCCUGGGGUAGCCCUAAAGGAAAAAGAGAGCUUGCUGAUUAUAGAAGCCUACAUUACCUUUGAAACCUAAGGCCCAGUCUACAUUACAGACCUUAAUUGGCAGAACUACAUCACUCAGGGGUGUGAAACAUCCACACUCCCGAACAACGUAGUUAUACUGACCUAACCCCUCCAUGUAGACAUCGCUGUGUCAGUGGGAAAGCUUCCCC